GACGAACGCUGGCGGCGUGCCUAAUACAUGCAAGUAGGACGCAGUUGCGAACGGGUGAGUAACGCGUAGGUAACUGCCUAUCAGAGGGGGAUAACUAUUGGAAACGAUAGCUAAUACCGCAUACUAGUAGAUGGACCUGCGUUGUAUUAGCUAGUAGGUAGGGUAAUGGCCUACCUAGGCGACGAUACAUAGCCGACCUGCGAGGGUGGUCGGCCACACUUGGACUGGGACACGACCCAGGCCCCCACGGGAAGCAGCAGUAGGGAAGCUUCGGCAAUGGGGGGAACCCUGACCGAGCAACGCCGCGUGAGUGAAGAAGGUUUUCGGAUCGUAAAACUCUGUUGUUAAGGAAGCGGUACUUAACCAGGAAGGGACGGCUAACUACGUGCCAGCAGCCGCGGUAAUUC
rnacentral:rRNA from 1 species